rnacentral:rRNA from 1 species
GACGAACGCUGGCGGCGUGCUUAACACAUGCAAGUCGAACGGAAAGGCCCUGCUUUUGUGGGGUGCUCGAGUGGCGAACGGGUGAGUAACACGUGAGUAACCUGCCCUUGACUUUGGGAUAACUUCAGGAAACUGGGGCUAAUACCGGAUAGGAGCUCCUGCUGCAUGGUGGGGGUUGGAAAGUUGCGGCGGUUGGGGAUGGACUCGCGGCUUAUCAGCUUGUUGAUGGGGUAGUGGCUUACCAAGGCAUUGACGGGUAGCCGGCCUGGGGGGGUGGCCGGCGCCAUGGGGACUGAGGUACGGACCAGACUCCAACGGGAGGCAGCGGUGGGAAAUAUUGCCCAGUGGGCGGGAGCCUGAGGCGGCAGCGCCGCGUGCGGAAUGACGGCCUGCGGGUUGAGAACCGCUUUCGCCUGUGACGAAGCGGGAGUGACGGUAAUGGAUGAAGAAGCACCGGCUAACUACGUG